CAGGAAAUACAGGAAAUGAAAAGGCAUGAUGAAUACACUGAGGGUGCUCUCGAAGGCACCAGCCCCUGGCAUCUGGGUAUGUGCCUUUG